rnacentral:rRNA from 1 species
UACAGAGGGUGCAAGCGUUGUUCGGAAUCAUUGGGCGUAAAGCGCGUGUAGGCGGCCAACUAAGUUUGGUGUGAAAGCCCAGGGCUUAACCCUGGAAGUGCACUGAAUACUGGUUGGCUAGAGGACGAGAGAGGACAAUGGAAUUCAUGGUGUAGGGGUGAAAUCCGUAGAUAUCAUGAGGAACAUCUGUGGCGAAGGCGAUUGUCUGGCUCGUUUCUGACGCUGAGACGCGAAAGCGUGGGGAGCAAACAGG